UCGCAGUCUGUUUUUGUCGGUGUUAGACGGAAUGGGAGGAAAAUUACAAUUUUAUUUCUUUUUAUUCCCAAAUCUGGUCAAAUAAACUGUUUCUGACGUCGUUGUAUACAAAGCUCCGAUAGCUAGCUAGAAAAUGUUCUGAAUUUAUCAAAGGAGUUUAAUAGACUUGGACCUACGAUUGUUUUUGGUGCCGGAUUAUCGGAAUUAAGAAGUGCCUGUUCGCGACUAAAAAGCUAUUGCGCUGUUACCUCCCGUUCUAAAUAGUGAGUGUCGUUCCUGCCAGUCGCCAUACACAAUGAAAAAAACGGGAAAACCGUUCCAUCGGUUGUUGCCGUUCCAGCCACCCAUCCAUCAUCAUCACCUAGCAAAUGUUUCCGGAUAAAGGUCUGAUGUUCAUAGGCAUUCCCGAUUUCCGGAAUGGACAAGCGGAUUACAGUGAAUGUGAUUUAAAUAUGAUGACAUAAAUUGAGAGAAAAAUAUGAUUAUGAUGUUAACGUAAAAUAAAAUAUAGGAUUGAA